rnacentral:rRNA from 1 species
UGGGGAAUCUUGGACAAUGGGGGCAACCCUGAUCCAGCCAUGCCGCGUGAGUGAUGAAGGCCUUAGGGUCGUAAAGCUCUUUCGCCUGUGAAGAUAAUGACGGUAGCAGGUAAAGAAACCCCGGCUAACUCCGUGCCAGCAGCCGCGGUAAUACGGAGGGGGUUAGCGUUGUUCGGAAUUACUGGGCGUAAAGCGCACGUAGGCGGACCAGAAAGUUGGGGGUGAAAUCCCGGGGGCUCAACCCCGGAACUGCCUCCAAAACUAUUGGUCUAGAGUUCGAGAGAGGUGAGUGGAAUUCCAAGUGUAGAGGUGAAAAUUCGUAGAUAUUUGGAGGAACACCAGUGGCGAAGGCGGCUCACUGGCUCGAUACUGACGCUGAGGUGCGAAAGUGUGGGGAGCAAACAGGAUUAGAUACCCUGGUAGUCCCACACCGUAAAACGAUGAAUGCCAGUCGUCGGGUAGCAUGCUAUUCGGUGACACACCUAACGGAUUAAGCAUUCCGCCUGGGGAGUACGGUCGCAAGAUUAAAACUCAAAUGAAUUG